CAGCCGCCGCGGUAAUACGUAGGGUGCAAGCGUUGUCCGGAUUUAUUGGGCGUAAAGAGCUCGUAGGCGGUUUGUCGCGUCGGAUGUGAAAACCCAAUGGCUUAACCUUGGGCCUGCAUUCGAUACGGGCAAACUAGAGUGUGGUAGGGGAGACUGGAACUCCUGGUGUAGCGGUGGAAUGCGCAGAUAUCAGGAAGAACACCGAUGGCGAAGGCAGGUCUCUGGGCCAUAACUGACGCUGAGGAGCGAAAGCGUGGGGAGCGAACAGGAUUAGAUACCCUGGUAGUCCACGCCGUAAACGGUGGGCGCUAGGUGUGGGGAUUGUUUCCACGAUCUCCGUGCCGUAGCUAACGCAUUAAGCGCCCCGCCUGGGGAGUACGGCCGCAAGGCUAAAACUCAAAGGAAUUGACGGGGGCCCGCACAAGCGGCGGAGCAUGCGGCUUAAUUCGAUGCAACGCGAAGAACCUUACCUGGGCUUGACAUGGAGACUAAUCCGGCAGAGAUGUCGGGUCCUUCGGGGGUCUCACACAGGUGGUGCAUGGCC
rnacentral:rRNA from 1 species